rnacentral:rRNA from 1 species
UCAGAGUGAACGCUGGCGGCGUGGAUUAGGCAUGCAAGUCGAGCGAUUCUUGUUGAACUUUUAUGGACGUGCUUGCACUGAAGUAAAAGUUUGACGCGGAAUAGCGGCAAACGGGUGAGGAACACGUGAGAAAUUUUCCCUAAAGUCGAACAUAGCUUCGUGAAAACGGAGGUAAUAUUCGAUGUGGUGCUUUGGUCGCAUGACCGAAGUAUUAAAGGUGGGGACCCUUCGGGGCCUACCGCUUUGGAUGAUCUCGCGUCCUAUCAGCUUGUUGGUGAGGUAACGGCUCACCAAGGCAUUUGACGGGUAGCUGGUCUGAGAGGAUGGUCAGCCACACUGGGACUGAGACACUGCCCAGACUUCUACGGAAGGCUGCAGUCGAGAAUCUUUAGCAAUGGACGAAAGUCUGACUAUGCGACGCCGCGUGCAGGAUGAAGGUUUUCGGAUCGUAAACUGCUUUUGUCAGGAAAGAAAGUCCCAUGGUUUAAUAAAUCAUGGGAUUGACGGUACCUGACGAAUAAGCCACGGCCAACUCCGUGCCAGCAGCCGCGGUAAUACGGAGGUGGCAAGCGUUACUCGGAAUUAUGGGUGUAAAGGGUAAGUAGGCGGUCUAUUAAGUGAGGGGUGAAAUCUUCCGACUCAAUCGGAAAACUGCCUUUCAA